UACGGAGGGUGCGAGCGUUAAUCGGAAUUACUGGGCGUAAAGCGCACGCAGGCGGUUAGGUAAGUCGGAUGUGAAAGCCCUGGGCUUAACCUGGGAACUGCAUUCGAUACUGCCUGGCUAGAGUAUGGGAGAGGGAAGCGGAAUUUCCGGUGUAGCGGUGAAAUGCGUAGAUAUCGGAAGGAACACCAAUGGCGAAGGCAGCUUCCUGGCCCAAUACUGACGCUCAGGUGCGAAAGCGUGGGGAUCAAACAGG
rnacentral:rRNA from 1 species